AGGUCUGAUCAUACCAGCACUAAUGCACCAGAUCCCAUCAGAACUCCGCAGAUAAGAGUACUUGGGCGAGAGUAGUACUAGGAUGGGUGACCUGCUAGGAAUUACUCGUGUUGCACCUC
rnacentral:rRNA from 2 species